rnacentral:siRNA from 1 species
UUUGGUGUUUUUGGUUAU